rnacentral:rRNA from 1 species
UACGUAGGGGGCAAGCGUUAUCCGGAAUUACUGGGUGUAAAGGGAGCGUAGGCGGAAGCUUAAGUCAGUUGUGAAAGUUUGCGGCUCAACCGUAAAAUUGCAGUUGAUACUGGGUUUCUUGAGUGCAGUAGAGGUAGGCGGAAUUCGUGGUGUAGCGGUAAAAUGCUUAGAUAUCACGAAGAACUCCGAUUGCGAAGGCAGCUUACUGGACUGUAACUGACGCUGAUGCUCGAAAGUGUGGGUAUCAAACAGG